GGGGUUGGUUAAUAGGGACUGAUAGCAGCCAGGGACUACAGUAAGUUAUUGGGGGUUGGUUAAUAGGGACUGGUAGCAGCCAGGGACUACAGUUAGGUCUUGGGGGUUGGUUAAUAGGGACUGGUAGCAGCCAGGGACUACAGUUAGGUCUUGGGGGUUGGUUAAUAGGGACUGGUAGCAGCCAGGGACUACAGUUAGGUCUUGGGGGUUGGUUAAUAGAGACCGAUAGCAGCCAGGGACUACAGUAAGUUAUUGGGGUUGGUUAAUAGGGACUGGUAGCAGCCAGGGACUACAGUUAGGUCUUGGGGGUUGGUUAAUAGGGACGUAGCAGGGACUACAGUUAGGUCUUGGGGGUUGGUUAAUAGGGACUGGUAGCAGCCAGGGACUACAGUUAGGUCUUGGGGGUUGGAUAAUAGGGACUGGUAGCAGCCAGGGACUACAGUUAGGUCUUGGGGGUUGGUUAAUAGGGACUGGUAGCAACCAGGGACUACAAUUAGGUCUUGGGGGUUGGUUAAUAGGGACUGGUAGCAGCCAGGGACUACAGUUAGGUCUUGGGGGUUGGAUAAUAGGGACUGGUAGCAGCCAGGGACUACAGUUAGGUCUUGGGGGUUGGUUAAUAGGGACUGGUAGCAGCCGGGGACUACAGUUAGGUCUUGGGGGUUGGUUAAUAGGGACUGGUAGCAGCCAGGGACUACAGUUAGGUCUUGGGGGUUGGUUAAUAGGGACUGGUAGCAGCCAGGGACUACAGUUAGGUCUUGGGGGUUGGUUAAUAGGGACUGGUAGCAGCCAGGGACUACAGUUAGGUCUUGGGGGUUGGUUAAUAGGGACUGGUAGCAGCCAGGGACUACAGUUAGGUCUUGGGGGUUGGUUAAUAGGGACUGGUAGCAGCCAGGGACUACAGUUAGGUCUUGGGGGUUGGAUAAUAGGGACUGGUAGCAGCCAGGGACUACAGUUAGGUCUUGGG
rnacentral:lncRNA from 1 species